AUUGAACGCUGGCGGCAGGCUUAACACAUGCAAGUCGAACGAGUGGCGGACGGGUGAGUAAUGCCUGGGAAUCUGGCUUAUGGAGGGGGAUAACUACGGGAAACUGUAGCUAAUACCGCGUACCAUAGGAUGAGCCCAGGUGUGAUUAGGUAGUAGGUGAGGUAAAGGCUCACCAAGCCGACGAUCCCUAGCUGGUCUGAGAGGAUGACCAGCCACACUGGAAUUGAGCCACGGCCCAGACUCCGACGGGUGGCAGCAGUGGUGAAUAUUGCACAAUGGGCGCAAGCCGGAUGCAGCCAUGCCGCGGGUGUGAAGAAGGCCUUCGGGUUGUAAAGUACUUUCAGGCAGGAGGCGUUACCGGCAGAAGAAGCACCGGCUAACUCCGUGCCAGCCGCCGCGGUAAUUC
rnacentral:rRNA from 1 species